rnacentral:rRNA from 1 species
UGAUGGCGAGUGGCGAACGGGUGAGUAAUACAUCGGAACGUGCCCUGUAGUGGGGGAUAACUAGUCGAAAGAUUAGCUAAUACCGCAUACGACCUGAGGGUGAAAGUGGGGGACCGCAAGGCCUCAUGCUAUAGGAGCGGCCGAUGUCUGAUUAGCUAGUUGGUGGGGUAAAGGCCCACCAAGGCGACGAUCAGUAGCUGGUCUGAGAGGACGAUCAGCCACACUGGGACUGAGACACGGCCCAGACUCC